rnacentral:rRNA from 1 species
AGCAGCCGCGGUAAUUCCAGCUCCAAUAGCGUAUAUUAAAGUUGUUGCAGUUAAAAAGCUCGUAGUUGAAUUUCGGGAUCAUCAGGUUGGUCGUGCCUCCGGUAUGUACUUGCUUCGGUGGACCCUCCUUCUUGAAGAACCGUAAUGCCAUUAAUUUGGUGUUGCGGGGAAACAGGACUGUUACUUUGAAAAAAUUAGAGUGUUUAAAGCAGGCAAUCGCUUGAAUACAUUAGCAUGGAAUAAUGAAAUAGGACGUUCGAUCCUAUUUUGUUGGUUUCUAGGAUUGACGUAAUGAUUAAUAGGGAUAGUUGGGGGCAUUAGUAUUCAAUUGUCAGAGGUGAAAUUCUUGGAUUUAUUGAAGACUAACUACUGCGAAAGCAUUUGCCGAGGAUGUUUUCAUUAAUCAAGAACGAAAGUUAGGGGAUCGAAGACGAUCAGAUACCGUCGUAGUCUUAACCAUAAACUAUGCCGACUAGGGAUCGGAUGAUGUUAAUUUUUUAAUGACUCGUUCGGCGCCUUA